rnacentral:ncRNA from 1 species
GCCGAAUCCGCACGGUUAUGAGGACGGGGCGGCAGGUCACGGCAACGACCUAAAAAGCCUA